rnacentral:rRNA from 1 species
UCUCCUACGGGAGGCAGCAGUGGGGAAUAUUGGACAAUGGGCGCAAGCCUGAUCCAGCCAUGCCGCGUGAGUGAUGAAGGCCCUAGGGUUGUAAAGCUCUUUUGUGCGGGAAGAUAAUGACGGUACCGCAAGAAUAAGCCCCGGCUAACUUCGUGCCAGCAGCCGCGGUAAUACGAAGGGGGCUAGCGUUGCUCGGAAUCACUGGGCGUAAAGGGUGCGUAGGCGGGUCUUUAAGUCAGGGGUGAAAUCCUGGAGCUCAACUCCAGAACUGCCUUUGAUACUGAGGAUCUUGAGUUCGGGAGAGGUGAGUGGAACUGCGAGUGUAGAGGUGAAAUUCGUAGAUAUUCGCAAGAACACCAGUGGCGAAGGCGGCUCACUGGCCCGAUACUGACGCUGAGGCACGAAAGCGUGGGGAGCAAACAGGAUUAGAUACCCUGGUAGUCCACGGGUACAUUGCUUCCGUAGGGGUACUGCUUGUCCAUUUCUGCUUUUAAGCUGCCGCCGGGAGCGUCGCAGGAU